rnacentral:rRNA from 1 species
UGUGAGCAGGAAAGCAGGGGAUCGCAAGACCUUGCGCUGAUUGAGCGGCCGAUAUCAGAUUAGCUAGUUGGUGAGGUAAAGGCUCACCAAGGCGACGAUCUGUAGCGGGUCUGAGAGGAUGAUCCGCCACACUGGAACUGAGACACGGUCCAGACUCCUACGGGAGGCAGCAGUGGGGAAUUUUGGACAAUGGGGGCAACCCUGAUCCAGCCAUGCCGCGUGAGUGAAGAAGGCCUUCGGGUUGUAAAGCUCUUUCGGCCGGGAAGAAAUCGUAUGGGUUAAUACCCUGUGCGGAUGACGGUACCGGCAUAAGAAGCACCGGCUAACUACGUGCCAGCAGCCGCGGUAAUACGUAGGGUGCGAGCGUUAAUCGGAAUUACUGGGCGUAAAGCGUGCGCAGGCGGUUUUGUAAGACAGGCGUGAAAUCCCCGGGCUCAACCUGGGAACUGCGCUUGUGACUGCAAGGCUAGAGUAUGGCAGAGGGGGGUGGAAUUCCACGUGUAGCAGUGAAAUGCGUAGAGAUGUGGAGGAACACCAAUGGCGAAGGCAGCCCCCUGGGCCAAUACUGACGCUCAUGCACGAAAGCGUGGGUAGCAAACAGGAUUAGAUACCCUGGUAGUCCACGCCCUAAACGAUGUCAACUAGGUGUUGGGUGGGUAAAACCAUUUAGUACCGGAGCUAACGCGUGAAGUUGACCGCCUGGGGAGUACGGCCGCAAGGUUAAAACUCAAAGGAAUUGACGGGGACCCGCACAAGCGGUGGAUGAUGUGGAUUAAUUCGAUGCAACGCGAAAAACCUUACCUACCCUUGACAUGUCCAGGAGCCUGAAGAGAUUUGGGUGUGCCCGAAAGGGAACUGGAACACAGGUGCUGCAUGGCUGUCGUCAGCUCGUGUCGUGAGAUGUUGGGUUAAGUCCCGCAACGAGCGCAACCCUUGUCGUUAAUUGCCAUCAUUUAGUUGGGCACUUUAACGAGACUGCCGGUGACAAACCGGAGGAAGGUGGGGAUGACGUCAAGUCCUCAUGGCCCUUAUGGGUAGGGCUUCACACGUCAUACAAUGGUCGGUACAAAGGGUUGCCAACCCGCGAGGGGGAGCCAAUCCCAGAAAGCCGAUCGUAGUCCGGAUCGCAGGCUGCAACUCGCCUGCGUGAAGUCGGAAUCGCUAGUAAUCGUGGAUCAGCAUGUCACGGUGAAUACGUUCCCGGGUCUUGUACACACCGCCCGUCACACCAUGGGAGCGGGUUCCGCCAGAAGUAGGUAGCCUAACCGCAAGGGGGGCGCUUACCACGGCG